rnacentral:rRNA from 1 species
AGGGUUCGAUCCUGGCUCAGGAUGAACGCUAGCUACAGGCUUAACACAUGCAAGUCGCGGGGCAGCGGGGGCUUAGCUUGCUAGGCUUGCCGGCGACCGGCGCACGGGUGAGUAACGCGUAUCCGACCUUCCGCACACUCCGGGCCAGCCUUCCGAAAGGAAGAUUAAUCCCGGAUGGGAUGACGGACCUGCAUGGGAACGUCAUUAAAGGAGCGAUCCGGUGUGCGAUGGGGGUGCGUUCCAUUAGCUUGUUGGCGGGGUAACGGCCCACCAAGGCGACGAUGGAUAGGGGUUCUGAGAGGAAGACCCCCCACAUUGGGACUGAGACACGGCCCAA